rnacentral:rRNA from 1 species
CCUACGGGUGGCAGCAGUGAGGAAUAUUGGUCAAUGGCCGGAAGGCUGAACCAGCCAUGCCGCGUGAAGGUCAGUGCCCUAUGGGCGUUAAACUUCUUUUGUUCGGGAGCAAUAAUGGUCCCGUGUGGCCAGACGAGAGUACCGUACGAAUCAGCAUCGGGUAACUCCGUUCCAGCAGCCGCGGUAAUACGGGGGAUGCAAGCGUUAUCCGGAUUUAUUGGGGUUAAAGGGUGCGCAGACGGCAGCGCAAGCCAGGCGUGAAAGCCCGGGGGCCAACCCCGGGACUGCCUUUGGAACUGCGAGGCUGGAGUGCAGGAGGGGUAGGCGGAAUGCCGGGUGUAGCGGUGAAAGGCGUAGAUAUCAGGAGGAACACCGGUGGCGAAGGCGGCCUGCUGGACUGCGACUGACGUUGAGGCCCGAAAGCGUGGGGAGCAAACAGGAUUAGAUACCCGGGUAGUC